GACGAACGCUGGCGGCGUGCUUAACACAUGCAAGUCGAACGGAAAGGCCCUGCUUUUGUGGGGUGCUCGAGUGGCGAACGGGUGAGUAACACGUGAGUAACCUGCCCUUGACUUUGGGAUAACUUCAGGAAACUGGGGCUAAUACCGGAUAGGAGCUCCUGCUGCAUGGUGGGGGUUGGAAAGUUUCGGCGGUUGGGGAUGGACUCGCGGCUUAUCAGCUUGUUGGUGGGGUAGUGGCUUACCAAGGCUUUGACGGGUAGCCGGCCUGAGAGGGUGACCGGCCACAAUGGGGAUGAAAAACCGCCCAGACUCCUACGGGAGGCAGCAGUGGGGAAUAUUGCACAAUGGGCGGAAGCCUGAUGCAGCAACGCCGCGUGCGGGAUGACGGCCUUCGGGUUGUAAACCGCUUUCGCCUGUGACGAAGCGUGAGUGACGGUAAUGGGUAAAGAAGCACCGGCUAACUACGUG
rnacentral:rRNA from 1 species